ensembl:processed_transcript
UGGACUUGUAGGCAAAACCGGAGCACCCAGAGAAAACCCACGCAAACGCAGGGAGAAUUUGCAAACUCCACACAGAAAUGCCAGCUGAUCCAGCCGAGGCUCGAGUCAGCAUCCUUGCUUAUUGGAUGCCUGAUUGCAGUUCAACUCCAAACUCAGUUGGACCAGCUGAUCAGUGUCUUCAGUAUUACCACAAGCUACUGGGCAGAUGUGUGGACACGACAGCUAUGAGCCAGACUUGGGACGUUUGGUUUUUAGGUAAUACCAGUGACAAAGUAUUCAGUAAAUUGCUUAUAAUAAAAGAUGCUCACUGCUUACCCCCUUAUAGUUAAGUUGUUUGCAGUUUCAUUGUUGUAAAAAUACCAUACUUUUUCCUUUUUUAUCAGCAGGUGGAGAGACCGUCUGGGCAGCAGAAACAAGACAACUAAUCAUAGUUAGGUUGAGAUUAGUAUUAUUAACUUGACUAGUUUGGUUGCAGACUUGUUCAAUACUUAACAAUUUGUAUGAGUUACAAGAUCAAUGGUCCUGCUAUCAAUGUUUUUGUAACUUAAAUUCAUUACAGUUUAGAUACAAUCAAAUGUCCAAACCAUCUCUGAGUGAAUGACAUCAAGGAAACAGGAUCAAAAGAUCAUUCAUUAUAGACCGUUUCAUAGGUAACAGCACAUCCUUUGUGAAAAAUAAUUUAUUUUUGUGUCAUCAUCACAAGACCAAAUACAUUUCAACUGAUUUCAG